ensembl:ncRNA C25F6.24 ncRNA
GGGCCGGCUGUGUCUUCGUCGUUUUUUUUUUGUCAGAAUUCAGCAUUUUAUUAUGCAAAGACAUCUGCCAAGUAUGGGGUUUGGGACAGGUGCCCCGACACCGAAAGAAAUAGGUCGAGAGGAAUGGGGUCUGAGCUGGUUUGAUGAGUAAAUGGGAAAAUUUGAACACAUUUGACACACUCACUGAGGAGGAAAUGUAUGAUGGCGUCUUAGGAGAUGACAUGUCAAGUAUAUAACAAUUUAGAUCAUUGAUGAAAACUAUAGAUUAAUGCACAAGCCUAACCGUGCUACGUCCG